UACGGAGGGUGCAAGCGUUAUCCGGAUUCACUGGGUUUAAAGGGUGCGUAGGUGGGUCUGUAAGUCCGUGGUGAAAUCUCCGAGCUUAACUUGGAAACUGCCAUGGAUACUAUAGAUCUUGAAUACUGUGGAGGUUAGCGGAAUAUGUCAUGUAGCAGUGAAAUGCUUAGAUAUGACAUAGAACACCAAUUGCGAAGGCAGCUGGCUACACAAAUAUUGACACUGAUGCACGAAAGCGUGGGGAUCAAACAGG
rnacentral:rRNA from 1 species